rnacentral:rRNA from 1 species
CAGCCGCCGCGGUAACACGGAGGGUGCGAGCGUUAAUCGGAAUUACUGGGCGUAAAGCGUACGCAGGCGGUUUGUUAAGUCAGAUGUGAAAUCCCCGAGCUUAACUCGGGAACUGCAUUUGAAACUGGCAGGCUAGAGUCUCGUAGAGGGGGGUAGAAUUCCAGGUGUAGCGGUGAAAUGCGUAGAGAUCUGGAGGAAUACCGGUGGCGAAGGCGGCCCCCUGGACGAAGACUGACGCUCAGGUACGAAAGCGUGGGGAGCAAACAGGAUUAGAUACCCCAGUAGUCCCUGUCUCUUAUAC